GGCGCCAAUCCUAGAUUCGAUAGGGUAAGUUCUGUGGUCUCCAGGGCAGAAGAAAUCUGUGGAUAGGCCGAAGGUAAAGCCAAUGACAGUGGGAGGGGGGAAUUUAGAGAAGUAGGUGAGGUAUUUGAUUGACAGCGGUAUUGGCCAGUAUGCUGGGGGUCGUGCUCUGGGGGAUGUAAUUGGCGCUACCUGUUGAAGGACUCAAGUGUGAAUCAAUAGAAUGCCUGCAAGCGUGCGAAUUUGGACGCCUGGAGUCUGAGGAUGCGGGAAGCGUUGCUUACCUUAGGUAUGGCUCUGGACAGUAUGGUGAACUGAGCAAGUGUUUUGCACCUUUUCACUUCUGCGAGCCUCUUCCCGGUCUUCAGGAGCAUCUAUCUGGCUCCCAUCACUCUCCUGCUACCUGCACUCAACUUGUAUCUGUGAUUAACCCCUGCUGUUACCAAUAAUGGCUUAAUGGUUCGUAUCUGCCAAGGAGAAUUGUAUUUCAACAGUUUCAGAAUAUAUAGCCUUCUAGAGCCUAAGGAAUUGAUUGCUUACCUUGCUCUCUACCCUUGGGAGACAGAUCUCUUUCCUUAAACUUGUACAUAUCUGAGCAGAAAAGAAGCCUGUCUCUUAAAAGGAUUGGACAGAAACAUUUUCGCUAGAGUCUCGUUCUUUGGACGUGAUCCAAUCACUACUUCUCUACCUAUGAGACUGUUGAUCAUCUCUUUCUCAGAUGAGUUCUGCCAUUAAACUGAAUAUCCAAAUGUGCAUAAAUCCUGAAUCCUAGGCUAUUCUGGCCAAUCAGCAAGAGAAAGAUUUGAGAUUUAAGAAAUUUGCAGCAACAAGAAUUGACUGAUGGCAACUACUAUUUCUUAAUAAGAGUAUUUUACUUAUGUUCUCUGGUUCUUGAGAUUCAAAAUGUAUUUUGAGAAGCAGCAACAGGAGAACAUCUGGAGAGAGAAGGAGAUUCUCUCUUAGAAGGGAAAUCAAAGAGGAAACAAACAAAUGGAAGAACAUUCCAUGCUCAUGGAUAGGAAGAAUCAAUAUUGUGAAAAUGGCCAUACUGCCCAAGGUAAUUUAUAGAUUAAAUGCCGUCCCCAUCAAGCUACCAAUGACUUUCUUCACAAAAUUGGAAAAAACUACUUUAAAGUUGAUAUGGAACCAAAAAAGAGCCUGCACUGCCAAGACGAUCCUAAGGCAAGAGAACAAUGCUGGAGGCAUCAUGCUACCUGACUUCAAACUAUACUACAAGGCUACAGUAACCAAAACAGCAUGGUACUGGUACCAAAACAGAGAUAUAAACCAAUGGAACAGAACAGAGGCCUCAGAAAUAACACCACACAUCUACAACUAUCUGAUCUUUGACAAACCUGACAAAAACAAGAAAUGGGGAAAGGAUUCCCUAUUUAAUAAAUGGUGCUGGGAAAACUGGCUAGCCAUCUGUAGAAAGCUGAAACUGGAUCCCUUCCUUACACCUUAUACAAAAAUUAAUUCAAGAUGGAUUAAAGACUUAAAUGUUAGACCUAAAACCAUAAAAACCCUAGAAGAAAACCUAGGCAAUACCAUUCAGGACAUAGGCAUGGACAAGAACUUCAUGACUAAAACACCAAAAGCAAUGGCAACAAAAGCCAAAAUUGACAAAUGGGAUCUAAUUAAACUAAAGAGCUUCUGCACAGCAAAAGAAACUAUCAUCAGAGUGAACAGGCAACCUACAGAAUGGGAGAGAAUUUUUACAAUCUACCCAUCUGACAAAGGGCUAAUAUCCAGAAUCUACAAAGAGCUUAAACAAAUUUACAAGAAAAAAAUCAAACAACCCCAUCAAAAAGUGGGCAAAGGAUAUGAACAGACACUUCUCAAAAGAAGACAUUUAUGUAGCCAACAGACACAUGAAAAAAUGCUCAUCAUCACUGGCCAUCAGAGAAAUGCAAAUCAAAACCACAAUGAGGUACCAUCUCACACCAGUUAGAAUGGCAAUCAUUUAAAAGUCGGGAAACAACAGGUGCUGGAGAGGAUGUGGAGAAAUAGGAACACUUUUACACUGUUGGUGGGACUGUAAACUAGUUCAACCAUUGUGGAAGUCAGUGUGGUGAUUCCUCAGGGAUCUAGAACUAGAAAUACCAUUUGACCCAGCCAUCCCAUUACUGGUUAUAUACCCAAAGUAUAAUAAAACAUGCUGCUAUAAAGACACAUGCACACGUAUGUUUAUGGUGGCACUAUUCACAAUAGCAAAGACUUGGAACCAACUAUGAUAGACUGGAUUAAGAAAAUGUGGCACAUAUACACCAUGGAAUACUAUGCAGCCAUAAAAAAUGAUGAGUUCAUGUCCUUUGUAGGGACAUGGAUGAAGUUGGAAACCAUCAUUCUGAGCAAACUAUCGCAAGGACAGAAAACCAAACACCACAUGGUCUCACUCAUAGGUGGGAAUUGAACAAUGAGAACACUUGGACACAGGGUGGGGAACAUCACACACCGGGGCCUGUCGUGGGUUAGGGGUAGGGGGAGGGAUAGCAUUAGGAGAUAUACCUAAUGUAAAUGACGAGUUAAUGGGUGUAGCACACCAACAUGGCACAUGUAUACACAUGUAACAAAGCUGCAUGUUGUGCACAUGUACCCUAGAACUUAAAGUAUAAUUUUAAAAAAAAAGAAGGGGAAUAAAAAACAAAAAUAAAAGAAUACAUUUUUCUGACA